rnacentral:rRNA from 1 species
UCGUGGAUCGAUUUGUCUGGUUUAUUCCGAUAACGAGCGAGACUCUAGCCUACUAAAUAGUGACGGAAUUAUUUACUGUUCCGCUUGCUUCUUAGAGGGAUUUUCGGUGUUUAGCCGCACGAGAUUGAGCAAUAACA